AUGGCAUCUACGGUGGUUCUCCUCCUCGUGGCCGCGCUGGCGUGCGUGCUCGGCGGCGCCGACGCGAAGCUCGGCAGGCUCGUCGUCAGCGGCGUCGUGCCGUGCAACACCGGCAGCCUCAUAGACAUCGCCACCUCCCCCGUGUUCCCGAACGCGGAGGUGGAGCUGCGGUGCGCGGGGCAGGUGGUGGCCGGCGCGACGACCAACACCAACGGCUCCUUCACGAUGGAGGCGGACCUGACAAGCGCGCUGGCGGCGUUCAUCGGCCGGUGCUCGCUGGUGGUGGACACGCCGCUCAUCAAGUGCGACGCGCAGCUGCCGCCGGCGGGGAAGCUGGUCUCCUACCUGCAGGGCCCGCUCACCAGGCUGCUCGGCGGCAUCUUCCACCUCUUCCCCGCGGGCUUCUCCUUCCACAGCCGAUGA
rnacentral:rRNA from 1 species